CUGGUGAGUAACACGUGGGAAACCUGCCCAGAAGCGGGGGAUAACACCUGGAAACAGAUGCUAAUACCGCAUAACAACUUGGACCGCAUGGUCCGAGCUUGAAAGAUGGCUUCGGCUAUCACUUUUGGAUGGUCCCGCGGCGUAUUAGCUAGAUGGUGGGGUAACGGCUCACCAUGGCAAUGAUACGUAGCCGACCUGAGAGGGUAAUCGGCCACAUUGGGACUGAGACACGGCCCAAACUCCUACGGGAGGCAGCAGUAGGGAAUCUUCCACAAUGGACGAAAGUCUGAUGGAGCAACGCCGCGUGAGUGAAGAAGGGUUUCGGCUCGUAAAACUCUGUUGUUAAAGAAGAACAUAUCUGAGAGUAACUGUUCAGGUAUUGACGGUAUUUAACCAGAAAGCCACGGCUAACUACGUGCCAGCAGCCGCGGUAAUACGUAGGUGGCAAGCGUUGUCCGGAUUUAUUGGGCGUAAAGCGAGCGCAGGCGGUUUUUUAAGUCUGAUGUGAAAGCCUUCGGCUCAACCGAAGAAGUGCAUCGGAAACUGGGAAACUUGAGUGCAGAAGAGGACAGUGGAACUCCAUGUGUAGCGGUGAAAUGCGUAGAUAUAUGGAAGAACACCAGUGGCGAAGGCGGCUGUCUGGUCUGUAACUGACGCUGAGGCUCGAAAGUAUGGGUAGCAAACAGGAUUAGAUACCCUGGUAGUCCAUACCGUAAACGAUGAAUGCUAAGUGUUGGAGGGUUUCCGCCCUUCAGUGCUGCAGCUAACGCAUUAAGCAUUCCGCCUGGGGAGUACGGCCGCAAGGCUGAAACUCAAAGGAAUUGACGGGGGCCCGCACAAGCGGUGGAGCAUGUGGUUUAAUUCGAAGCUACGCGAAGAACCUUACCAGGUCUUGACAUACUAUGCAAAUCUAAGAGAUUAGACGUUCCCUUCGGGGACAUGGAUACAGGUGGUGCAUGGUUGUCGUCAGCUCGUGUCGUGAGAUGUUGGGUUAAGUCCCGCAACGAGCGCAACCCUUAUUAUCAGUUGCCAGCAUUAAGUUGGGCACUCUGGUGAGACUGCCGGUGACAAACCGGAGGAAGGUGGGGAUGACGUCAAAUCAUCAUGCCCCUUAUGACCUGGGCUACACACGUGCUACAAUGGAUGGUACAACGAGUUGCGAACUCGCGAGAGUAAGCUAAUCUCUUAAAGCCAUUCUCAGUUCGGAUUGUAGGCUGCAACUCGCCUACAUGAAGUCGGAAUCGCUAGUAAUCGCGGAUCAGCAUGCCGCGGUGAAUACGUUCCCGGGCCUUGUA
rnacentral:rRNA from 1 species